rnacentral:misc_RNA from 1 species
GUUAAAACUAGUUUAUUUCUAAACCAAAUUCUAAUUGCUGUUAAUUUCCGUUCGGACCACAAAUGAUUUGCAGUACCAACACCACCCAGACAAUUUUUUCGUAAUCACUCACCAAAUUGCAGUAGAAAUUACAGAGAGUAUCAACAGAAAGCAUAAGAAAUAAACAAACCAAUUAGGAACCAAUGAAUUCAGAGAAAAAAGAAAAGGA